GCACUCGCCUCAUUGCCUGCUGGGGUUUUUAGUUUUUAGUGAAAGAAAAAACCAAGAACUCUGCCGAUUUCAGCAAAACAAACAACUCUAGGGAGACUCCAAAAUGUAUUCAGCCUGAAGUAAAAGAUCCACCACCACCAAAGAGUAAACGAAAUUCCUUUUUAAUUCCUUUUCCUAUCUUUUUCUUCGUAAUUUAGCAUCGGUGGCCGGGGGUUUGAAGUCAGGACUAGGAGCGGGGACUGAGUUCCCUCUCGGGAAUCCCUUUUGAGUGAGAGGCAGGCAGCCGCCGGUCACUUGUUCCCGCAUGGGUCUCGGAUGACGCAGCUGAUGCUAUCACCGAGAAGGCUGCAGAGGGGGCGGGGGUUGGGACAGACUUCACCCUGACCACCAAGCUGCGAGAGAGGCUUUUCCCAUAGCAUUUUUCUCCUGUUAGAACACGGUCACACAUCCCCUCCUGACUGAAUGCCUCCGCUUCUCCACCCCCCCCCCUCCUUUCCUCCCCCUCGCACCGGGGAUGUGAGCACCGGCUUUGGUUCGGAGCGCAUGCGCUGGCUCGAACCAGGGAAGAGCGGGGUUUCGGGGUGGCAAAAAAACAACGGGGCAGGGGUCUCGGUUAGUGAGACCCCGUUCUCCACCGGCGGUGCCGCGGCUGUAGCAGGAUGAACUCGGGUACGCUGCGGACCAGGGACAUUCGUUCCAAUAUUCCAGUAUCCAUCCCAAGGGGCUUCCCCUUGGGACUCAGGGACCACCUCUGCCGAGUCUUCCCACAAAUCAUCCUCCUGAUCUCUACUGAGAUACGAUCCCAUACUCCCCUUGGCACAGAAGUUAUGAGAUACUAAAAAUUAAAUCCCGAGUUUCCAAACUCAGUGCCGUUAACUUAAUGAUCCAACGGAUGACCGUUCCGUGGAUGUUCGGUUAACCACGGGCUCUGCAACUGCCACCGAAAAAAGUAACGGACCCCACUCGGUCGCGGUCAAGAAGGCUUACUAGUCCCCGAACUCGAAAGGGACGUCCUCUUUCCUUCAGGACCCCUGGUGACUCCCACACCCCGUCGGGUAACACUCUGUAAGAGUCGGUCCGAAAAUCCCUCAUUUCUGCCUCACGACUGUCAGAGGCUGAGACCCCCCCUGGACCCUGGGCCACAGCACAGGAGAGAUCCAAGCUUCUCCCUGCAGCUGCACCCACUGGACCAAGACGCCCUCCUCAGGGACCCGUGCAGGAACAAUGGACACUGUCACGGUUCCUGGGCCGUGUUUGCAGAGGCCGUGUUUGCUUUGACUGACUGUGCUGUACCUGCUGCAGAGCCCAGACCUGCUUGCCCCAAACCUGCCUGAUCUGAAUGGUUGCACCUGAUUCCCAGAGCAACGGGGCUCCUCACAAUGACUCUUGGGUGCUCCCCCCACGCUGGCCAGGUGCCCCCCCACUUCUGCCUGCAUUGGCCGGGUGCCCCCUGCUUCUGCAAUGACUAUAAAAGCUUCCCCCUGCGACUCACAUUUUGAGGCCUCCCCUUCGGACGACGGCUCCAUUGACCUACGUGCCACGGAGACUGCGAAGGUGGUCUGUUGGCAACGACGUCACGAGGACCCCCGUCUGUCAGUUGGUAGCUAUACCCUUUCUUUACCCCCCUUUCUCUCCCUCUCUCUCUCCCUCUCUUCUUUCCCCUUCUUUUCUAUCGCAUAACUGUGUGUAUCAAUAAAGAUACAAUUGAUUUCACUUGAAUUAAGUUAUCACUGCCUCUUUUUGCACUCUGAAAUCAAAACAAACCAUCACGACCAUCCUUUGGCUCGUGACAUUAAAUUGGCGUCACGGACAGGAUCCUGAUUGACAGAGGGGUUGCAGGUUGUCUAUAGUCUGUACUAGGAAGAGGAAGAUUUGCCUCAGCCGCACCUAGCACGUCACUUCGGUGAACGAAGCUAGAAAGCAAGGGGGGCUUUUCUGAUUCUUCGCACACUGUAGACACCUAGGUGAAAGCAUCCCUAUACUCUAUUGAGGUGUAUCUGUCUUCAGGAUUUCACAAAAGAUCUCCUAGUGCAAAAAGAGAAACUGUUUUUUGUGUGUGAACUGUCUUGUUGAGAGAAGGGACACCUUGACGUAACUAAACAGUGCCUCAGCAGACAGAUUUUGUCCCUUCACCCACCCCAGGGAAAGAGGGGAGACGCAGCGUAGCUGUGUGUGUGUACAACCAAGCAUUACCUCCCUGUAGUGGUUUUCUGAUCCCCCUUUACAAAAUGACUAAUGAUUUUAUACAUAAAACUGAAUUUUAUGCUCUACUAGCUAAACACAAUGCCAGACCCUCUCCAGAGGUGGAAUUUUGGGCUAAUAAUAACUGGUCUAAUUUGGAAAGUGUGGUUGAUAAAGUAUGUUCUUUACAACAUGAAACAAAAUUUAAACUGGGCAAAAAUAAAACCAUACUGUGCUCAGUUCUGGGAGCCUGCCUUACCGCAGCUGUAGAAACUCGCUUUAAGCGAAGAAGUGAAGAAAAUGCAAUAAUAGACUCCCUUCAAAAUUUAGUUGAAAUUUUGCAAAAUGAAAAUCAUUUGCUGCGAGAUGAAAAUAAUUUGCUACGGACUGCCUUGGGAGAUGAAUAUUCUAAAAAUUUAGAGAAUGCUGACUUCCCAAAAAAGGCAGAAGAAAAAGAAACUCCUCACAUUUAUCAGAUUUACCCCCAGAAAGAAUUAGUGUUAGUAAAAAAUUGUGAGGAACACUGCUGCCCUAACACAACACCUCUAGUUAAAACAGAAUGCAACUAUAUUGAUGAAAAUUCAGACCCACAAAUAAUCACUAAAGAAAUCCCAGACACCACCACUGAAUUAUCUAAGCUAAAAGGAGAGUACUCGCGGUUCCCUCAUGAAUCAGAGACAGGACAUGUUUCCCGAGUUUCUCUCGGUGGUGGAGAUCAAAUUAAAUUGACAGAACAAGAAGUUAGUGGGUAUUGGGGACAUGGAGUUUCCUUAAAACAUAAUUCAUGGUCCCUGAUUCAAUGCUCAGCUCACUGGGCAGAGGGGUAUAACCCCUUGGAAAAGGGAAACCAUUUAACUUUAAUUGGUACUCCCGAACAGCCCAUGGAAAACAUUCACAAAGCUGCCUGCCUGCAAAUGAUACAUGAUGACUCUCCAAUGCAAUUGCCUGUAAAGCCUGAAAUUAUGAUUCCUUUAAUUCAAAAGCCUUUGGAAUUACUUAAACCUAUAGCAAUUGUUUUAAGUUCUGUAGAAAAGCUAGACAGAUCCCUCGGAAACCCAAGUGAACCAACCGGAUCUACAGAUCGUGGUUUCAGUCCUUAUCCUACCCCCUCCCAGCCCCCAGCCCCUCAAUCUAAUUCACCUGCUGGUGAUCGUAAUGUCUAUGUAUUAAGUGAAAUUGCAGUAGAAGUGACCAACUAUGUUAAAACUCCUAGUAGUGAAAAACCAGAGAAAAGUAAACAAAUCACUAGCCGCCAACACUUGUUGCUAUUAGAUAUUAAAAAAGGGGUCCCCAAACAAAACCCAAAUUUGCCAGGGCAACCCCUCCCUAAAAAGUCACAGCAAAUUACACACCUUUCUUCUGAGAAUCUGGGCAGUGAGCCCAGAAACAGUCUAACAAUCCAACCCCCCCCACCCUCCCCCUCUCAGCACCCAGGCAAGGAGCCAAAGCAAAGCCUUCCUUCUCAAGGGAACCUAGAUUCACCCAACCAUGCCCACCCUGCUUUGGCCCAAGAGUUAGAAAAAAUACGCAUAGCUGACAAUGUAGCUGUUUACCAAUGCAGCGAUGAUAUUUUUGUGGGUAGGGAUGAAAUAGAAGUGGAAGAUCCUCAACAGAAAAUAAUCUCCAACUUUGAAAGCUUUGAUCUACAAAUUUCCCCUGAAAGUAAAAUUUCUGGGAAUUUGAUGGAAAAGAAGCAUGAUACGCAUUUGAUAACCUCCUUCAAUCAAAUUAAAAUGCCAGAAUCUACGAAGGAACUGCAACAAGUUUCAGAAUUACUAGUGCUUUGCAGAAAACACAUCCCUGAUUUUUCUAUAAUUGCCAGAACCCUUUACAGCCUGCUGAGAAAAGGAAAAAUUUGGGAAUGGGGUGAUUCUCAUCAUGAGGCUUUAAAAUUGUUAAUUUUUGAGGCAACCGCCCACCAAACACUUGGUCCUACUUAUCCUACAGAUCCUUUCCACAUGGAAUGGUGUUUUGCUUUUUCAGGAUUGUCAGUACAACAACCUGUUGUCCUGAGAGGCCCUUCUCCAUAUGCAACCCCCCCACCUGACGGGGUGGCCGAAGGAGCCUCAUUUGGAGCUGUAAAAAAUCUGACAAUGAACUUGGAUGGUAACCCAGACAAACCUGCCUCAGUCACUGGAACAGCCCCUCCCUUUUGCCCCAAGCAGUCUCACUUUUCUGCAGAAAUUGUCCCAGAUUGGGCAAAACGUGAAAAGAUCAAAUGGGCUUCUCAUACCUGUUAUGGAUGGGAGGCUAACAAAUGUUCCAAAAUCACUGCUUUUUGCCCGGCAGUUCCAAGCAUAAACACACCCUGGAUAAUUCCUUCAUACUAACUUUUCUGCCUUUGAAGGCAGAUUCUGUUGUGUUUACUUUUCACAGGAGAACUCCGAUGGACAUAAAGACCACAUAAAACCAUGAUAAAACUGGUGAUAUUUUAAACAUUAUUUGUGUUAUAGGAACAAAAUUAAGAAUUUUAAACAGUAUUGAUUUAGAAAUAUUCGUUAAUAAAUUGGUUGUUACAAUUAAGAAUUUGACACCUUUUACGGUCGUCCUUAUUGGCUUUGGGAACGACUCAGUGGCUAUUAUCAAACAUAUUAUCAAACUGAGAACUGGUAAAUGUGAAUGAUUAUAAAUUGAUAAUUGAUCGCAAAACUAAAUCUUUUAGCUCUUAGCUGCCUCCAGUCUCAGUAGUGGAUGCAGUUAGUGGCUGCCUCAAUUAUAAAAGAUGGCAGCUUUUUCUACUGAAAUUUGGAAAGUAAUUUGGAACAAUGCCAAUGAUUUCAAAAGAGAUUUUCAAUUCUAGUUGAACUUAGUGAAUUUUAUUUAUGACUCUUUUAUAAACACAGCCACAGCUUUUGUAUUGACCAUAUGUGUUGCCAUGAAUUUUCCUGGUUUGCUGAGCGUUCAUAUUAAAGGAGAAACGUGCAGUUUCUCACGCUGGUGAAUUGUAAACACAGGACCAUGUUUUGUAAAUAUUGGCAAUGUUAUGAAUACUUUCUCCAAGACAAGGGGAGGUUGAAUGACAGCCUCCUGGACCAAUGUGACAGGAGAGGUGGCGAUACCCUUCUCCAAUCCAUGGUCACCUUGCCACAGAUAUAUAAUGGAAAAAUAAACUAAGGGCAGGGUCUUCUGCCCUGCUGCUCUGAUGCACCCAGAUCUGUGUCCCCAGUCUGUGUUCCUGGUUGGGCCUCCACGGUGAUACAUAUGUAAUGCUUUGAUACAUUUGAUAUUCCCUAUUAUUGUGUUAAGAUUAAAACAUGAUGGAGCUAUUCUCUAUCUUUUCCAGUAUAGGGAGUGGGCCCGUCAAGUCGAUAAAAAAUGGCAAACUGUUAACUUAGAAUCCUGCAUAGUCCGAGAACAACAAGGCUUUAUUUGUGAAAGUAAUAAAAUUACAUUUGUUUAGACAUAGAACAAAAUAUUUGUCAUUUUAAAGUUUAUCCUAACGAGACUCCUGAAACAGUGCUUUUAUAUGUAGGCAAUGGAUGUGUAUGCUUUAGGACUGCUUGUGAUGUUGUAACUGUAGAAAAUGUUAUACUAGAAACCAAAAAUCACUCGAACUUUUGUGCUUGUAACUUUACUAAAAUUACAGCUUUUGAUUUUUCUUUUUCAGCUCCAGUUACUUCUUACCAGCUUUUACAAUCUAAUUACACACUGAUCCACAAGCUACGGCCUACUCUGAUUGGGAUGAACCUCACUUUGGUAAAGUAAUUGUUGCUCCAUCAGGAUCUAAGUGAAAUUUUAGAUAAAACCAAGACCUUGAUAACAAAUUAUGUCAUCCCAUCGUUGUUCUUUUAACUUUAUUUUGAUUGGCUUUUGUUUUGCAGCAAUCUCAUUCUUUACUUAGAAACAAUAGAUAUACUUAGAGAUGUUGACACAAGACAAACUUUACAAGUAGGCCAUAGCCGCGGACUGUGAAAUGGAUUUUGCCUAAGUAAUACAUAUAUUUUAAGAAAAUUAUGUAUUUUGAUUUUUGUGAUUUGUGUUAAUCAUUUUUAAAUUUGUUCAUGCUACUUGAAAAUUGUUUUACAAUAAUUUUUUGCCUUGAUUGAAAAUUGUUUUAACUAAUAUUUUACUUAAUAUUGUUAAGAUUUUGUCUUGAUUAUUUGAUUUUAUGAAUCAUUUAUCAUCAUGAUUUGUUUAAGAGUUUUAUUAAUCAACAACAAUUAUUUGUUUUGAAAUUUUAAUGUCAUUGGAUUUGUUUUGUCAUAAUGAUUUGUUUUGAGAUAUUAACAAUCAAUAUUAAUCAUUAUGAUGUCUCUUGUUUUUCCUUUUUCCUUCUAUAUUUCCUUUUUCCCCUCUCUCUUUCUCUCGACUCUAUUUUCCGGGGUAUACCACUGACACUGACAAUGAGUCCUGAAGACUUCAGAACAACGCAACGAACUCAACUGAUGGAGCUCUCCUGCCGACCAGUCGUGAGUCACGGGGUGGUGUAAGAGUCGGUCCGAAAAUCCCUCAUUUCUGCCUCACGACUGUCAGAGGCUGAGACCCCCCCUGGACCCUGGGCCACAGCACAGGAGAGAUCCAAGCUUCUCCCUGCAGCUGCACCCACUGGACCAAGACGCUCUCCUCAGGGACCCGUGCAGGAACAAUGGACACUGUCACGGUUCCUGGGCCGUGUUUGCAGAGGCCGUGUUUGCUUUGACUGACUGUGCUGUACCUGCUGCAGAGCCCAGACCUGCUUGCCCCAAACCUGCCUGAUCUGAAUGGUUGCACCUGAUUCCCAGAGCAACGGGGCUCCUCACAAUGACUCUUGGGUGCUCCCCCCACGCUGGCCAGGUGCCCCCCACUUCUGCCUGCAUUGGCCAGGUGCCCCCUGCUUCUGCAAUGACUAUAAAAGCUUCCCCCUGCGACUCACAUUUUGAGGCCUCCCCUUCGGACGACGGCUCCAUUGACCUACGUGCCACGGAGACUGCGAAGGUGGUCUGUUGGCAACGACGUCACGAGGACUCCCGUCUGUCAGUUGGUAGCUAUACCCUUUCUUUACCCCCCUUUCUCUCCCUCUCUCUCUCCCUCUCUUCUUUCCCCUUCUUUUCUAUCGCAUAACUGUGUGUAUCAAUAAAGAUACAAUUGAUUUCACUUGAA